rnacentral:rRNA from 1 species
CACACCGCCCCGUCGCUACUACCGAUUGAAUGAUUUAGUGAGGCCUUCGGACUGGCGGUCUUGGACUGGGCUCCACUCGCCAUCUCCCCAGCAAUGGGGGGCGGUGGACUCGCCAUGACGAGCCGGAAAGAUGUCCAAACUUGAUCAUUUAGAGGAAGUAAAAGUCGUAACAAGGUUUCCGUAGGUGAACCUGCGGAAGGAUCAU